rnacentral:rRNA from 1 species
GACGAACGCUGGCGGCGUGCCUAACACAUGCAAGUCGAACGAGACGGUCGGGCCUAGUGGCGCACGGGUGCGUACGGAGGGGGAAGCUGCCCGUGGGUUAGGAAUCACUCACCGAAGGGGGUGCUAAGACCGGUGGGUGUCUUAGGACCAAAGAUUUCUCGCCUUUGGAUGGGGGCGCGUUGGAUUAGCCAGUUGGUAGUGUAUAAGCCUACCAAUGCGACGAUCCAUGGCUGGUGUGAGAGGAUGCUCCGCAACGAUUGGACUGAGACCCGGCCCAGUCUCCUACGCGGCGGAGCAGUGGGGUGUAUUAUACGAUGAACGAAAAUCUAGUCCAGCCGUGCCGCGUGAGUGAUGAAUGCCUUAGGAUUGUAAAGCUCUUUUACCCGGGAUGUUAAUGACAGUACCGGGUGAAUAAGCUCCGGCUAACUCCGUG